AGGGAUGGAGGCCUUCGGGUUGUAAACCUCUUUCGCCAGUGAAGCAGGCCUGUCCCUUGUGGGUGGGUUGACGGUAGCUGGAUAAGAAGCGCCGGCUAACUACGUGCCAGCAGCCGCGGUAAUACGUAGGGCGCGAGCGUUGUCCGGAAUUAUUGGGCGUAAAGAGCUCGUAGGCGGCUGGUCGCGUCUGUCGUGAAAUCCUCUGGCUUAACUGGGGGCUUGCGGUGGGUACGGGCCGGCUUGAGUGCGGUAGGGGAGACUGGAACUCCUGGUGUAGCGGUGGAAUGCGCAGAUAUCAGGAAGAACACCGGUGGCGAAGGCGGGUCUCUGGGCCGUUACUGACGCUGAGGAGCGAAAGCGUGGGGAGCGAACAGGAUUAGAUACCCUGGUAGUCCACGCCGUAAACGUUGGGCACUAGGUGUGGGGGGCCUUUUCCGGGUCUUCCGCGCCGUAGCUAACGCAUUAAGUGCCCCGCCUGG
rnacentral:rRNA from 1 species